ensembl:snoRNA small nucleolar RNA SNORA76
CUGCUGCCUUUGAGCCACGCCUGAGCGUGGUGUCAGUGCUAAGCUGCUGUACCAGAGCACGUUCUUGCGUAUAACUGGGGCCUUCAGUUCCCUGCAGGCUGCCGUUUAAGCCACAGUGACAUGA